GUCCCGGCGCGCCGCUGGCCGUGGGCGGAGCGGGAGAGGCGGGCGAGGCGGGCGGCUGCUGUGGAAGAGGCUGGGCCCGUGCGCUGUCGGGGCUGCAGGAAGACGCACAGAGCUUGUUUGAGCAAGACCAGGAUGGAAGAGCCCAAUGGGGACCUUCCCAUGCGGAGAGACGCCGUCCUCUCCGAGUCGUGCUGUGAUCAUGCUGUGACAAACCUGCACUAAACUCGCUGGGCAUUUGGAAAACUGUAUUUGCAGCUGUUCCUGGGCCUACAUCAAAGACCUC
rnacentral:lncRNA from 1 species